ACUCAAAUGAAUAGACGGGGACCCGCACAAGCGGUGGAUUAUGUGGUUUAAUUCGAAGCUACGCGCAAAACCUUACCAGCUUUUGACAUGUAUCUAGACUGGAUCAGAGAUGAUCUGGGCAUUUAGUUGGAGAUAACACAGGUGCUGCAUGGCUGUCGUCAGCUCGUGUCGUGAGAUGUUGGGUUAAGUCCCGCAACGAGCGCAACCCUCGCUAUUAUUUGCCAUCAGGUUAUGCUGGGCACUAUAAUAGGACUGCCGGUGAUAAGCCGGAGGAAGGUGGGGAUGAUGUCAAGUCCUCAUGGCCCUUAUAGGCUGGGCUACACACGUAAUACAAUGGCUGUUACAAAGAGAUCCGAAGUGGUGAAACACGGAGGGAAUCUGUAAAAGACAGCCUCAGUUCGGAUUGUCUUCUGCAACUCGAAGGCAUAAAGAUGGAAUCGCUAGUAAUCGCAGAUCAGCAAGCUGCGGUGAAUACGUUCUCGGGUCUUGUACACACCGCCCGU
rnacentral:rRNA from 1 species